rnacentral:misc_RNA from 1 species
AACGCAAAUUGCACUCCUUGGUAUUCCGAGGAGUAUGCCUGUUUGAGUGUCAUGAAAACCCUCAACUCCAAGUUUGGUUAAUCCAAGUUUGGGUGUUGGACUUGGGCGUUUGUCAAUGAUGAAUUGACUCGCCUUAAAAAGCUGAGCUGGAUUAGUCUUUGUACUGGUUUCCCUAGGCGUAAUAAGUAUUUCGCUUAGGACACAAGUUCGCUUGUGGCCAGGACUCGGACAGCAAUCUGCUUUCUAUACCCCAUAUGUACUUGUGCAUAUAAUCUCUGACAUCUGGCCUCAAAUCAGGUAGGACUACCCGCUGAACUUAA